rnacentral:lncRNA from 1 species
AAACAAUCAAAUAAAAGGAAACAUGGCGGGAGAAAACACAAUUUUUUUUCCCACCAUUCUCAUCCCCGUAGAGCUCCCCCAAAUUGGAGAUAAGCCCAGCGACUGUGAAAACCAAAUAUGGCGUAAGAAGGGCAGGAAAUCACAAUGUUUUAAAUUCAUUCAUCCCCGUCGACCUCUCCCAAAUUGGAGAUAAGCCUGGCAACUGUGAAAACUAAAUCCAGCUUAAGGAAGGCAGGAAAUCACUAAUUUUCCUACCAUUCACCCCCGUCGCCUUCCCCAAAAUUGGAGAGAAGACCGCACCUGUCAAAACCGAAUCCAACGUCUUCUGGCUGUAAAUCGAUUAGCCCAGCCAUUUCGACGGCUUCUUCCGGCUGUGAGGUCAGUUGUGUAUAUUAAACUCAGCACUUUUUGUGUGAUCACUUUUUAAAUUUUCUUGACUUGUUGGCAGCGUUGUUAAGGAGGUGUUUGGAGUUUUACAUGAUGAAGUUUUGAGCUUGGAGCCACUGAUAUGUGUUAAAGUAGAUGUAGCAGAGGAUGUAAAGCUGGCUGAUUUUCAUUUUUAUUGUCAUCCAUGUUCUUGGAGCCACUGAUAUGUGUUAAAGUAGAUGUAGCAGCAUUUAUCAUAAAAAUUGUGUUGGUCGAAUUGUUACUUGUGCAUGGUUUCAAAGUGGUUUUUUGUUAAUAUAUAUUCUUAUUUUUAUGCUCAUGUCUGUGUAUAAGAUCUCAUAUUCUGACUUAUAUUACACACAAAAAGAUUAAGGAGUGUACAACAAAGCACUAUAGAAAUUCAUAACAUUUACUAGAAUGAUGAAUAUAGAAUGAUAGACCUUCACAUUCGUGGUUCACAACAUUUACCAUUGCAAUUUAAUUAUAAAUAACUUCUAUUACAUCAUCCAAAAUGUAGCACCACACUAAUUAUGACAUUUCAUAACAAUGGAAAUACAAAAUGCAACACUAUUAGUCUUUGUACUACAAACGUAACUAGACAACCCUUUCAAUUUAUUAAACAUAAUCCAGCCAACCCCUUUCCAAUUCCCUUCACCACACCAUUUUCCCUUGCGAAAUGUCACGUUCAACAAAAUCUUGGCACUCCGUUUCUCGCUUGUUCGAGCUAGCAUUUCAAGUAUGCUUGACAAAUUUUUCGACGUCCUCGUUCGUUGCCUAAUUCAUUGUUUCAUUAUUGAGACUUGAUUCGCCACUUGAUUCUCCUAGCACAACCCGGUCAAAAUAGCUACAGUUAUUACUGCAUGUUUUGAAUGAGUAUCAACCCACAUUUUUUAUAUCCAUGUUCACACCACCGGCAUUGACAUUCUCUCGGGCAGUUCUCGAGGUAGUGCAACACGCUUCUAUAAUUGUGACAAACUCUAACAUUCCUUCAUCUCAUCGAGAGAUUAGAAACCAUAUAACUCAAAUGAAGCAAGAAGGGACUUAAAUUCAUGUUAACAAUGAAGUUCUGUAAUUAAGACGUGCUAUGAUUUUAAAAAAAAAAUAAUAAAAAAAAAAUGCUCAACACAGAUAAUGAUAUGAGAAAGUAUUAUCAUAAGCAAAUCCAAAUAACAGCAACUAUGAAAUUUACUUGACAUUACUAUGUGAAAAGUCUCGUGAACACCAGAUCCUUUAAAUCUAACUUCAUAAUAGCAGCUAUGCCCGAUAACUAAACAAACAGCUCGAAACUUUAUCAUGUAAAACUUCAAACACCUCAUUAACAAUGCAGCCAACACGUCAAAAGAAAAUUUAAAAAGUGAAUCAGACAAAAAGUGUUGAGUUUAAUAUACACAACUGAUCUCAGAGCCGGAAUAAGCCGUCGAAAUGGCUGGGCUAAUCGAUUUACAGUCAGAAGACGUCGGAUUCGGUUUUGACGGGUACGGGCAUCUCUCUAAUUUUGGGGAGGUCGAUGGGGGUGAAUGGUGGGAAAAUUAGUGAUUUCCUGCCGGAUUUAGUCUUCACAGUCGCCAGGCUUAUCUCCAAUUUGGGGGAGGUCGACGGGGAUGAAUGGAUUUAAACAUUGUGAUUUCCUGCCCUUCUUACGCCAUAUUUGGUCUUCACAGUCGUCGGGCUUAUCUCCAAUUUGGGGGAGCUCGGGGAUGAGAAUGGUGGGAAAAAAAAUUGUGUUUUCCCCCGCCAUGUUUCCUUUUAUUUGAUUGUUUGUUUUUAAAGUGCCACGUAAGAAAUUUUUGAAAUCCUGUAAGCAGCCUGUGAACCAGCCCCUGUACUUGUAGCUUUAUUGAACAAAGAAAUACCC